ACCACAGGGUUUUGAAUGGCUAGGAGAUCGAGUUAUGGUGUAGUCAAACUAUAACACACUAAAGGUGAACUGUCGAUGCACCUCAAGUCAAAGAACUAGACACACAACUGCAGCAUCGAGCUAGUCAUCGAUGAGAAGGUAGACUUCCUUAUGACUGCUCGAGGUGGUCACACUCAGUACUCUCGUUCUCAACAGAUACUUGUAUUCUCACUUUGAUAUUUUCACACCAUAGACUCAAGACACAUCCACCCUAAGGAAGCAAUCGUAUACCAACCUUUCGGAUCGAUCACCAUCCUCGUGAUGAUCCUAUGGUCAGGAGUUGUUUAUG
rnacentral:lncRNA from 1 species